GGGCGUUUGGCGCAGUGGUAGCGCGUCUGCUUUGCAUGCAGAAGGCCGAGGGUUCGAACCCCUCAACGUCCA